AAUAGAUGACGCGGUUGAUUUUUUCUCACAUGUUUGACCAUUCGUCUUAUUAAAAAAAAAAUUACGUAAUUAUAAUUUAUUUUGUUAUGAGUUGUUUUAUUACUCAUAGUACUUUAAGUGUGAUUUAUAUCUUAUAUAUUUGCAAAAAAAAAUUUGAAUAAGACGAAUGGUCAAACAUGUGAGAAAAAGUCAACGACGUCAUCUAUU
rnacentral:pre_miRNA from 1 species